UCUGAUAACACUAUUAGAGGGAA
rnacentral:piRNA from 1 species